CGGUGUUCAACUGGCGUGCCCGCGGGACGUCCUGCCGGUGAGCUCAGCCCGCGAGGGCGGCUCAACUUGAAAUCCCAUCGCGGUGCUCUUCAUUGAGUGUCGAGGUGGGCCGGCACGAUUACUUUUGAACAAAUUAGAGUGCUUAAAGCAGGCUAAAAUUUUGCCUGAAUACUGUGUAUAUGGAAUAAUGGAAUAGGACCUCGGUUCUAUUUUGUUGGUUUUCGGAACCCCGAGGUAAUGAUUAAUAGGAACGGAUGGGGGCAUUCGUAUUGCGACGUUAGAGGUGAAAUUCUUGGAUCGUCGCAAGACGGACUAAAGCGAAAGCAUUUGCCAAAAACGCUUUCAUUGAUCAAGAACGAAAGUUAGAGGUUCGAAGGCGACCAGAUACCGCCCUAGUUCUAACCAUAAACUAUGCCAGCUAGCGAUCCGCCGACGUCCCUCUGAUGACUCGGGCGGGCAGCUUCCGGGAAACCAAAGCUUUUGGGUUCCGGGGGAAGUAUGGUUGCAAAGCUGAAACUUAAAGGAAUUGACGGAAGGGCACCACCAGGAGUGGAGCCUGCGGCUUAAUUUGACUCAACACGGGAAACCUCACCAGGCCCAGACACUGGAAGGAUUGACAGAUUGAGAGCUCUUUCUUGAUUCAGUGGGUGGUGGUGCAUGGCCGUUCUUAGUCGGUGGAGCGAUUUGUCAGGUUAAUUCCGAUAACGGACGAGACUCUGACCUGAUAACUAGACGCACUUGCGGCAUCUCAAAGGUCCGCCGGCGGCUGGCUUUGCGCCCGUCGUCGCGCGCGAUUUUUACUGCCGGCGUACAAUAAAUUCUUCUUAGAGGGACAAGUGG
rnacentral:rRNA from 1 species